CAGCAGCCACGGUAAUACGAAGGGUGCAAGCGUUAAUCGGAAUUACUGGGCGCAAAGCGUGCGUAGGCGGUGAGUUAAGUCUGCUGUGAAAUCCCCGGGCUCAACCUGGGAAUGGCAAUGGAUACUGGCAAGCUAGAGUGUGUCAGAGGAUGGUGGAAUUCCCGGUGUAGCGGUGAAAUGUGUAGAGAUCGGGAGGAACAUCAGUGGCGAAGGCGGCCAUCUGGGACAACACUGACGCUGAGGCACGAAAGCGUGGGGAGCAAACAGGAUUAGAUACCCGGGUAGUCCCUGUCUCUUAUAC
rnacentral:rRNA from 1 species